CCUACGGGGGGCAGCAGUAGGGAAUAUUGCUCAAUGGGGGAAACCCUGAAGCAGCAACGCCGCGUGCAGGAUGAAGGUUUUCGGAUUGUAAACUCCUUUUGUUAGAGAAGAUAAUGACGGUAUCUAACGAAUAAGCACCGGCUAACUCCGUGCCAGCAGCCGCGGUAAUACGGAGGGUGCACGCGUUACUCGGAAUCACUGGGCGUAAAGGGCGCGUAGGCGGGAUAGCAAGUCAGAUGUGAAAUCCUAUGGCUUAACCAUAGAACUGCAUUUGAAACUGUUAUUCUAGAGUAUGGGAGAGGUAGGUGGAAUUCUUGGUGUAGGGGUAAAAUCCGUAGAGAUCAAGAGGAAUACUCAUUGCGAAGGCGACCUGCUAGAGCAUAACUGACGCUGAUGCGCGAAAGCGUGGGGAGCAAACAGGAUUAGAUACCCCUGUAGUC
rnacentral:rRNA from 1 species